UAUGUGUAUAUAUAUGUGUGUGUGAUACAUAUACAUAUACAUAUACAUAUACAUAUACAUAUACAUAUACAUAUACAUACACACACACACAU
ensembl:miRNA